GACGAACGCUGGCGGCGUGCUUAACACAUGCAAGUCGAACGGAAAGGCCCUGCUUUUGUGGGGUGCUCGAGUGGCGAACGGGUGAGUAACACGUGAGUAACCUGCCCUUGACUUUGGGAUAACUUCAGGAAACUGGGGCUAAUACCGGAUAGGAGCUCCUGCUGCAUGGUGGGGGUUGGAAAGUUUCGGCGGUUGGGGAUGGACUCGCGGCUUAUCAGCUUGUUGGUGGGGUAGUGGCUUACCAAGGCUUUGACGGGUAGCCGGCCUGAGAGGGUGACCGGCCACAUUGGGACUGAGAUACGGCCCAGACUCCUACGGGAGGCAGCAGUGGGGAAUAUUGCACAAUGGGCGGAAGCCUGAUGCAGCAACGCCGCGUGCGGGAUGACGGCCUUCGGGUUGUAAACCGCUUUCGCCUGUGACGAAGCGUGAGUGACGGUAAUGGGUAAAGAAGCACCGGCUAACUACGUGCCAGCAGCCGCGGUGAUACGUAGGGUGCGAGCGUUGUCCGGAUUUAUUGGGCGUAAAGGGCUCGUAGGUGGUUGAUCGCGUCGGAAGUGUAAUCUUGGGGCUUAACCCUGAGCGUGCUUUCGAUACGGGUUGACUUGAGGAAGGUAGGGGAGAAGGGAAUUCCUGGUGGAGCGGUGGAAUGCGCAGAUAUCAGGAGGAACACCAGUGGCGAAGGCGGUUCUCUGGGCCUUUCCUGACGCUGAGGAGCGAAAGCGUGGGGAGCGAACAGGCUUAGAUACCCUGGUAGUCCACGCUGUAAACGGUGGGUACUAGGUGUGGGGUCCAUUCCACGGGUUCCGUGCCGUAGCUAACGCUUUAAGUACCCCGCCUGGGGAGUACGGCCGCAAGGCUAAAACUCAAAGGAAUUGACGGGGCCCCGCACAAGCGGCGGAGCAUGCGGAUUAAUUCGAUGCAACGCGUAGAACCUUACCUGGGUUUGACAUGGAUCGGGAGUGCUCAGAGAUGGGUGUGCCUCUUUUGGGGUCGGUUCACAGGUGGUGCAUGGCUGUCGUCAGCUCGUGUCGUGAGAUGUUGGGUUAAGUCCCGCAACGAGCGCAACCCUUGUUCACUGUUGCCAGCACGUUAUGGUGGGGACUCAGUGGAGACCGCCGGGGUCAACUCGGAGGAAGGUGGGGAUGACGUCAAGUCAUCAUGCCCCUUAUGUCCAGGGCUUCACGCAUGCUACAAUGGCUGGUACAGAGAGUGGCGAGCCUGUGAGGGUGAGCGAAUCUCGGAAAGCCGGUCUCAGUUCGGAUUGGGGUCUGCAACUCGACCUCAUGAAGUCGGAGUCGCUAGUAAUCGCAGAUCAGCAACGCUGCGGUGAAUACGUUCCCGGG
rnacentral:rRNA from 1 species